GACAGAGGGUGCAAACGUUGCUCGGAAUUAUUGGGCGUAAAGGGCGCGUAGGCGGCUCGACAAGUCAAAGGUGAAAUCCCUCGGCUCAACUGAGGAACUGCCUUUGAAACUGUCUGGCUUGAGGCCGGGAGGGGGUAGCGGAAUUCCCAGUGUAGCGGUGAAAUGCGUAGAUAUUGGGAGGAACACCAGUGGCGAAGGCGGCUACCUGGACCGGUUCUGACGCUGAUGCGCGAAAGCGUGGGUAGCAAACAGG
rnacentral:rRNA from 1 species